GACGGUAUAGCUCAGUGGUAGAGUAUGAUGCUUAGCAUGCAUGAGGUCCUGGGUUCAAUCCCCAGUACCUCCA
rnacentral:tRNA from 1 species